AGAAUCCCUGUGCCUCUUGGGACAGAGCUUGAUGCCCAGUGCAGCAGAAAAGUGAAUGUAGUGAAUGUUCUCCCGUGGAGCAGUCUGGCCCAAACUGGAAGGGAAGGUGCUGUCGGAAGCACAAGAGGAGUCUUUGCAGUAGGGGAGAGAGAGGGGUGGGAGGAAAACCCAGGGGCUCCCCAGAAACUCAGAAGGAGUAUCUUGUGGGAGAUUGGGUCCUGAGAGGGGGCACCCCUGCUCCUGUCACUGGUGGGGAUAAGACAGAUUCCCAAGGCAAGCAGCAGGCCCCAUUGUCUGCUAGCUCAUCUCUGAGCCCAGGGAACUGGGGCUGUGCAGUGGGGAGGGUUUGCAGCAGAGGGUACAGGGGUAGGAAGGAACCUGUUGGCUGGUGAUUUUUUUUUUUUUUUUUUUUUUUUUUUUAUUUUAUGAUAGGCACACAGUGAGAGAGAGAGAGGCAGACACAGGCAGAGGGAGAAGCAGGCUCCAUGCACCGGGAGCCCGACGUGGGAUUCGAUCCCGGGUCUCCAGGAUCGCGCCCCGGGCCAAAGGCAGGCGCCAAACCGCUGCGCCACCCAGGGAUCCCUUGGCUGGUGAUUUUAUCUCGAUGUUUCUGAGGGAGGCAAGGAAUCUUUGCCUGGACUCCUUAAGCCACCUUUGCAAGGCACUGGCCACCGUGGCGAUGGAAAUAAUGCACGGCCUCAGCUCCUGAGUAAGUGCCCCUCUGCUAAAGAGGAUCACCAAGCCAUCACCUCGUGUGUUUUCACCCUGAGGACCCCGACUUCGGCAGCAUCUGGAAGAGGAAGAGAUAUCACCAUCUCUGUGAAAAGGGCCUGUGGGUUUUAAUUGACCGCAAACUCAGAGUGAGCCAACGGGUGACCUGAUUGCUAAAAUAGCCCAGGAGGAGGGCGGAAGCUUCCAGAACAGAGAGGGGGCGGCUAGGAUCUCAGCUGGAAGGAAGUGAGGGCACCAUUUUUGGAACCUGCCCAAAUCCACAGCUCCAGGGAGCAGGGAGGCCUUUCUCUGGAAACUCUGCCUUAGUCCAGCCCCUGUGGGUGAGAAUGGGGUGGGGCAGGAGGUGGAGCUAGUGGUUCCUGGAGCACAGAAACCCCGGUGGUGGGUGAACACAGGCCUGCACCUUGGGCUUUACCUACUCCUCAGGUUAGAAGAAAUCCCAGGCCUGGAGGUUAGAAGGGCCCAGGGAGACCAGUUGGGCCAGGCACUCCGGUCCCAUGCUGGGAAGCCGAGAGCCUGCCUAAGCCCGCCGUGGGAGGGUGACAAAGGUCAGCUCUCCUCCAGCUUUCCUGCUGCACUCAGCAGCUCUGAAAGAAAUGCAAGGAACAAAGAUGACUGCUCUCAUACAGCAGAUAAUGAAUGUUCUGAUUCUCAGCCCCCAAGAGCAUCAAAUCCUAGUGUCCCUGGCCAGGAAAUUUACAGCCUGCCAUUGACCCUUGCAGGGCAGUGUCCCCUUGCUGGCUUCUCCAUGGGCAGAGAUGGCCCGUGAAUCCCGCGACCUCCAUACUGGCUGUCCUCAGCGUCCAGUGGCCUGGCCAGGGUCCCUCAGCUCUGCUGGUGCUGGGCUGGGCAGUGAGGACAGAGCACAGAGGCGGCUCAGCUCUGUGUGGAGGGUGUGUGGAGGUGGUGGGGAUGAGCCUGAGCCAAGGGCAACCCCGCCUUUCUAUUUUAUAUCUAAUUAUAAAAGCAAUUCAUACUCAUUGUAAAAUUUGGAAACUACAGAAAGGUACAAAGGAGAAAAUGAAAGUCGUCUGUUAUCUCGCUGCCCAAAGAUAAAUGUCACUACUGUUUUGUUGUAUUUCCCUUCAGUUUCAUUCUUCUAUAUCAAUCAUACAUAUGCA